rnacentral:rRNA from 1 species
AGCAGUCGCCGCGGUAAUACGAAGGGGGCUAGCGUUGUUCGGAAUUACUGGGCGUAAAGCGCACGUAGGCGGAUAUUUAAGUCAGGGGUGAAAUCCCGCAGCUCAACUGCGGAACUGCCUUUGAUACUGGGUAUCUUGAGUAUGGAAGAGGUUAGUGGAAUUGCGAGUGUAGAGGUGAAAUUCGUAGAUAUUCGCAGGAACACCAGUGGCGAAGGCGGCUAACUGGUCCAUAACUGACGCUGAGGUGCGAAAGCGUGGGGAGCAAACAGGAUUAGAUACCCGCGUAGUCCCUGUCUCUUAUAC